UUUGAUCCCAACCUAAUCCUAGCGGUCUCAAUAACCCAAACUUGCUAUGAGUUUUGAUGCUUCCGACUCACUUGAAUCCUCUAUUUUUAUCAACACUAAUAUCUCAUCUUAUUUUAAUAGUGCUAUUUUGGGUGUUAAAAAGAUUGUUCGGAAAGCCAAAAAGGCAAAAACAUGCGCAACACCUGUCACAUCCCGAAAUCACAGGGAAAGCCCACAGGACGCUAACAGACCCGCCAAACGGAUAGAGUCUCCUCUGUCCGAACGAAGCGACAACAUGAACAAAGAAGUCCCAGGUAAAACAAGAAAAUAUGUAGCCAAAUACAGCACACAAAUUAGUACCAAAAUCAACGAAACCACAAGAAAACAAAAGAUAAGUAUCAGAGCACUAUACAUCAGCUGAACCACUAUACACCAAGAAAUAAGUAACAAAAUACAAAAGUCCACACCCAAAAGCAAUUACAAGUCAUUGACCCCGGCCUGCGCAAAUCCAAAAGAAAGUAUAGUGGGUUACUAUCUAGAGGUCUGCUACAGGCAAGUAUGCUGGUAAGAUGACUAACUAGGCGCAGUCUUAGGGAUGCAAACGGGGCAGAUUUAGGGUGUAAGAUGUAAGAACUGAGAUUUUUACAGUGCAACUAAACUUUCUGUUGACGAUGUUUAUGUGUGUAAUUUAAUUACAUAAGCACUCGUCAAGUUCAAGGAGAAAAUGAGCUAAAAUGGAGAAGAUACGCGAUUUUUAGUUUUCACUUAAGUGAAUAG
rnacentral:lncRNA from 1 species